rnacentral:rRNA from 1 species
GGCAGACGGGUGAGUAACAGGUAGGUAUCUACCCUGUGGCCUGGAAUAACACGAGGAAACUUGUGCUAAUACCGGAUAAGUCUUUACGGAGAAAGCUUUAUGCACCAUUGGAUGAGCCUGCACUUGAUUAGUUUGUCGGUAGGGUAAUGGCCUACCAAGACUUUGAUCAAUAGCUGAUUUGAGAGGAUGAUCAGCCACAUUGGGACUGAGACACGGCCCAAACUCCUACGGGAGGCAGCAGUGGGGAAUCUUGCACAAUGGAGGAAACUCUGAUGCAGCGAUGCCGCGUGAGUGAAGAAGGCCCUUGGGUUGUAAAGCUCUUUCGUCGGGGAAGAAAAUGACUGUACCCGAAUAAGAAGGUCCGGCUAACUUCGUGCCAGCAGCCGCGGUAAUACGAAGGGACCUAGCGUAGUUCGGAAUUACUGGGCUUAAAGAGUUCGUAGGUGGUUGAAAAAGUUGGUGGUGAAAUCCCAGAGCUUAACUCUGGAACUGCCAUCAAAACUUUUCAGCUAGAGUUUGAUAGAGGAAAGCAGAAUUUCUAGUGUAGAGGUGAAAUUCGUAGAUAUUAGAAAGAAUACCGAUUGCGAAGGCAGCUUUCUGGAUCAUUACUGACACUGAGGAACGAAAGCAUGGGUAGCGAAGAGGAUUAGAUACCCUCGUAGUCCAUGCCGUAAACGAUGUGUGUUAGACGUUGGAAAUUUAUUUUCAGUGUCGCAGCGAAAGCGAUAAACACAC